rnacentral:rRNA from 1 species
GAUGAACGCUGGCGGCGUGCCUAAUACAUGCAAGUCGAGCGAACGGACGAGAAGCUUGCUUCUCUGAUGUUAGCGGCGGACGGGUGAGUAACACGUGGAUAACCUUCCUAUAAGACUGGGAUAACUUCGGGAAACCGGAGCUAAUACCGGAUGAUAUUUUGAACCGCAUGGUUCAAAAGUGAAAGACGGUCUUGCUGUCACUUAUAGAUGGAUCCGCGCUGCAUUAGCUAGUUGGUAAGGUAACGGCUUACCAAGGCAACGAUGCAUAGCCGACCUGAGAGGGUGAUAGGCCACACUGGAACGGGGACACGGUCCAGACUCCUACGGGAGGCAGCAGUAGGGAAUCUUCCGCAAUGGGCGAAAGCCUGACGGAGCAACGCCGCGUGAGUGAUGAAGGUCUUCGGAUCGUAAAACUCUGUUAUUAGGGAAAAACAUAUGUGUAAGUAACUGUGCACAUCGUGACGGUACCGAGUCAGAAAGCCACGGCUAACUACGUG